UCAGAUUGAACGCUGGCGGCAGGCCUAACACAUGCAAGUCGAGCGGAAACGAGUUAUCUGAACCUUCGGGGAACGAUAACGGCGUCGAGCGGCGGACGGGUGAGUAAUGCCUAGGAAAUUGCCCUGAUGUGGGGGAUAACCAUUGGAAACGAUGGCUAAUACCGCAUAAUGCCUACGGGCCAAAGAGGGGGACCUUCGGGCCUCUCGCGUCAGGAUAUGCCUAGGUGGGAUUAGCUAGUUGGUGAGGUAAGGGCUCACCAAGGCGACGAUCCCUAGCUGGUCUGAGAGGAUGAUCAGCCACACUGGAACUGAGACACGGUCCAGACUCCUACGGGAGGCAGCAGUGGGGAAUAUUGCACAAUGGGCGCAAGCCUGAUGCAGCCAUGCCGCGUGUGUGAAGAAGGCCUUCGGGUUGUAAAGCACUUUCAGUCGUGAGGAAGGUAGUGUAGUUAAUAGCUGCAUUAUUUGACGUUAGCGACAGAAGAAGCACCGGCUAACUCCGUGCCAGCAGCCGCGGUAAUACGGAGGGUGCGAGCGUUAAUCGGAAUUACUGGGCGUAAAGCGCAUGCAGGUGGUUUGUUAAGUCAGAUGUGAAAGCCCGGGGCUCAACCUCGGAAUUGCAUUUGAAACUGGCAGACUAGAGUACUGUAGAGGGGGGUAGAAUUUCAGGUGUAGCGGUGAAAUGCGUAGAGAUCUGAAGGAAUACCGGUGGCGAAGGCGGCCCCCUGGACAGAUACUGACACUCAGAGCGAAAGA
rnacentral:rRNA from 1 species